AACGUAGGUUCCGAGCGUUAUCCGGAUUUACUGGGCGUAAAGCGCGUUCAGGCGGCUUGGCAAGUCGGGUGUGAAACCUCCAGGCUCAACCUGGAGACGCCACUCGAUACUGCUAUGGCUAGAGUCCGGUAGGGGACCACGGAAUUCCUGGUGUAGCGGUGAAAUGCGCAGAUAUCAGGAGGAACACCGGUGGCGAAGGCGGUGGUCUGGGCCGGCACUGACGCUGAGGAGCGAAAGCGUGGGUAGCAAACAGG
rnacentral:rRNA from 1 species